GACAAAAGAUUUGGGAUGAAUUCUUUACUUUGUGGGCCAGUGACAUGGAUAGAGCUGAAAAGAAAAUCAAAUUAUUCUAAUUAACAAUGUUUUCAAGAAACUAAUAGACAGCAAAUAUAUUCAACCUCUCACUCAAAUAGAAACAUACUUCUAAUGUAAUCUUACAAUAUACUUUCUUUCACUCCAAACAGACUCAAAUUACAACACAAUUGAGCAUUCUUGCAUCCGUCUUUAGUAUUCUUGACUCAUUUAUUUUCUUUAUACACAUCUUGACAAAAGUACCUGGAUCCAACCUAACUCACCAUUUUAUAAGAUCAUUGGUAAUGACUUCAGUAUCUGCAUCACAAAUAAACACAAAGGAAUUUUGUUAGUAAGAGUUCUGGCUGUUUCCUGCCAUAUCAUAUAUCAUAUAUAAACAUACCUAACUUGUUGAAGCCCCCUCUUAACCUUGUUUUUCUUGUCAAUAUGGUGGAUAGUCGGGAGAGAAGCAAUUGUUGUGGCAGCGAUGAGGGGGUCGUGGAGGAAAUUUCUUAUAUGGUGGUGGUGGAGUAGUAGGGCUGCGUGGGGAGGAAGGAGGAGGAGGAGAAGGAGGUGGUGGUGGUGAUUGGUAGCGGUGACUAGCGGGUGGAUGAGGACAAUGUCCUAUGUAUGGGCAAGGUACAUAUAUACGCCCUAGGGUGUUUGGGAGCAAGCUCAGAGAAAUUACUACAGCUAAAAUAGUAGUGGUAUUAAUAGUAACCACGGCCAUGGAUGCUUCCUUCCCCUUUUUCCUUCCCCCCAUCUUCACUACAGGAGAACUCUGACUAUGCUCCUAACCUUCCUUCUCAACCCUUUUUAUUAAGAAUUUAUUGUGGAAAUUGGGUUCCAUCACUUUCCACUAUUACUCAAGCGCCAUGUGUAUUACUUGUUCAUUAAACUGAG
rnacentral:lncRNA from 1 species